rnacentral:rRNA from 1 species
GGGUCAGUAGGUUGGUCGUGCCACCGGUACGUACUGGUCUCACUGAUUCCUCCUUCCUGAAGAACCGUAAUGCCAUUAAUUUGGUGUUGCGGGGAAACAGGACAGUUACUUUGAAAAAAUUAGAGUGUAUAAAGCAAGCUAACGCUUGAAUACAUUAGCAUGGAAUAAUGAAAUAGGACGAUCGAUCCUAUUUUGUUGGUUUCUAGGAUUGACGUA